GGGGUUGUGGCUCAGUGGUAGAGUUUUUACCUAGCAUGCACAAGGCACGGGGUUCAAUCCUCAGCACCA
rnacentral:tRNA from 1 species